UUUCAAGUUUGGUUUUAGAAAGAGACUAUAGAAUUAGAGACAACCGGAAAGAUGCGACAGAAAGAUAACAGAGAGAAGCCGCCGCACCAGCGAGCCACCGGCGGUAAUGACAGUGGUACCAGAGUUUCCGGUCACCCCGGCGGUGGUCAACAGCUGCAACCCAAUAUGGCGUCCUUUAUGCUUCUUUUCUUUCUCUAAUUGUGUUAUAUAUGUUACUUUAUUGUAUUUGAAUAUUCUGUCUAUAUGUUUGUUGUAGGCUUGAGGCUGCACUUGCAGUGUUUAAGCAAUUACCUGAUACCAUCUCAUGGUAAAUAAUUUGACCUUAUUUUCCAUGUUCAAACUGCUAAUGCAAACUAUUGAAGCUGCUAGACACGGUUGGGCCAAUCAGCAAGUACAUGCUAAGGGUUUGUGGAGGUUUGAUUCAAUGAUUUUUUAACUACAAAUCGGCCAGUACAUCUGUACGUGGCACCGUUUGAUUUUCAUAUCCUAGGUAACCAAUGGCUGGACACCUACUACGUAAUGGUGAGCUGGUUCCUGAAGAACUUUUUGAAGACACCCGAGAUGACCCGAAAGAGCUUGGAAAGUUCGACAAAGCCACUACAGAUUCUUACAUCAACUAAUUUAGGGUUUGAAAAGAACCUGUAAUUCCUGCAAGCAGCUAUGUCACCACACUUGUCAAACUGGGUUGUCAACUGAUUGAGUUGUAGCAUACACAGAUAAGUAUAUUAUUAUUCAUUGAAUUGCCCUUAACGUGGAGAUGUUUACAUAUUUUGGUUUUUGCAUAUGAUUCAUCGACUAAUCCUAUAAAGUUUCUAGGGUGCAACCGUGUCUCAAGAUGUUUCACAAAAGCUACUGCAAGCAAUCCCUACUCACAACACAUGGAACAAUACAAAACCAACAGUUCAGACCUGGAAAAAGAUGUGAGGCCGCUGCGAAUGCUGUGAGAACUUGUACUCUUUGCAAUGUUGUUUACUAACAAUUAAAGCAACCUGGUGCUGUGUAAGUAUGGAUCUUGCCAAGAAAGCUGGUAAAUUCUAUAUGCUUUUCUUCUAGCUAAGCUUCUUGCAACAAACAUAUUAGAUGUCUGAUUGUUAGCAAAGUUAGUUAGGCAUCGUGUGUACUUAUUUUUACAUGUAACAAUUAUAAUAAUGAUACCUAUUAUCAUUUCCAUGUACUUAAGUAUUUUUCAAUUGUCAAUAAGAUUGAUUAAAACAGGGGGAUUGAAGCACAA
rnacentral:lncRNA from 1 species